rnacentral:sRNA from 1 species
UAGUGUUUUUGUACUUUUGACCAAGGUACUGUAGUGCAGACUAUUGUACUUGUGCUUGCUGUGGUACGGUACUACUGAGUAUUGUACUAUUGACUAUGAUACUAGUACUGUACUAUGGAUUAUUGUUCUGUACUUUUGAAUUCAUGUAAUGAUUGUAAUGGAAGUUAGUAUGUUGUUAUCUAUCAUGUGUAUAGUUUUAAUUUAAUUUAUAGAGAUGAAGAGGAACUGAUUGUACAAUUUAUUUACAUUCCAUUCUGUUGCCUGUAAACUCAUUUUGACAUCAUAUUUUUAUAGAGGCUUUACUACCUACCCCCCCCCCCCCCCCCCAUCCCCAUAUUAACAGUUAAGUGAAUAUAUUAAAAUUAAAUUUUCUGUCAAACCCAUUAUCAACAUGGGUUUUUAAAAAAUGAUUCAAGGUGGGAUUUGGUGUUUUAAAAUUAGGUAUGCUAAAACAUCUGUAAGUUUGUAUGUUUUAAAAAUUUUAUUGUCUCAGAAACCAAGGUUCUUGUCUCAGCUUCAGAGGAAGAGAAGCAGAAAACCCAGCUUAAAAAAUCACUGCUUCACAACGUAAAACAUAGGUUAAUUAAUAUGUAAUUAUCAAUGUAUAAUCCUAGUCAAACCAAACUGAUUUGUUGAGAAUGUUAAGUUUUUAGUGUUCCUCAACAUUUAUUGUGAUAUAUCAAUCUGCAACCUGCUUUGAAUAAGGAUAGACACGAAGUUAGUUUAAAUUAUAUAUAAUAUUUUGUAUAAAUAUAAGUUGAACUUGUAUAUGAAGAAGGAAUGCAUAUUUGAUGCAGCAGAAUACUCUUUUGCAAGUUUCAUCAUUUAGAGAUGAAAAAAGCAAAGUUCAUUGAAGUGUGCAAUGUCAAAUAUAGUGGGUUUUUUUUAUUUUAAAGGAAUUGUAGAUUUACGGGGAAUUCGGGUUGUCGGACUUUAGAACUUCAGUUCUAUCCCUACCAAAACUGUAUAUUUAUUGCACAUAAUAAAGCUGUGCACAGUUUUGAACUUAUUAAAAUUAUUUAGGAAAAAUGUAUUAAGUAAAGAUUUUAAAAAGCAAAAUAAUGUAUGGAUUGACUUGUACCUCUACGGUCUGUCAGCCUCAACUUCUCGUAGAGCUACCGUAACAGUUUUGCAGCUAUAAUGUACCUUUGGAAUUCAUUACAAUAUUUACUCAUUCCUAAGUUUUUGUUGUCCAUUGUACACAAAAAGAAUUUAUGAUCAUUCCAUACAAUAAAAUUAUG